rnacentral:tRNA from 1 species
GCCUGGGUGGCUCAGUUGGUUGAGCUUCCAUCUUUGGCUCAGGUCAGGAUCUUGCAGCUCGUGGGUUCGAGCCCCACGUCAGGCU